AAGGAAAGGUAAGAGAAACAAAUCACAUUAACACUUCCAUGUGCUAGGUGGUUUGUUGUAUUUAAUCUUCACUACAACCCAGUGAGGUACAAUUAAUUACUGUCCUCAUGUUACAGAUGAGUCCUGGCUUAGAGAAAUAACUGACUUAAGGUUCUUAAUGAGUACCUAGUGGGACCAGAAGAUCUGAACUUGGGCACUGCAGGUAACACAGACCCUUCUUGUCCCACAGAAGGUGGAGGGGUGUGAUGAAAAGCACAAACAACACCCAGGUUGAAGUGACUGGCCUAGGAAAUUUGUUGCUGUGCAGAAGAGUGAAGAGUCAGCCGAAUGAAGCAAUGAAUGCAAUCAUUUUGUGGACUAAUUGAGAUAGAAUCCAACCUCAUGGUAGAGGCUCUCGGUAAGGUUCCUCUCCAGAAGAAUGGCUACAGAAGGAGAAAUCUCCCUUCCCGAGCACCCAGGGUAGAUUCUGGUGUGGACUGAGCUGCUCCUGAGGAAACUCUUUUCUGAAUGAUUGCCCAUCAAACACACACUUGUGGGGCCCAAGUUUCAGGACAACAGGGGUCCGAGAUGAUGCUGGUCCAACGACUUCAGAUUUUAUCCAGCAUGCCCUGGCCCAACCCCAUCUGCUCUUAAGGCUAGAUGCAUUAACCAAUCUGGAAGCGAGUUUGUGAGAGCAAAACCAGCUUGGUGAUACCCUGUGAAGGAGGCUGUUGCUAUUCUGGCCCAGGAAGAAUGGCAUUGAGAGACUGUGCACAGCUCACAGGAAGCCUGCAAGGCUGCACUCCCGCAGAAAUGAGAGAGGGUGGGACAAACGAGGCCGACAAGCAUUGACAAGGGAAAUACCUUGGGAUGUUCUGUACUGGAUCAGACUCCAGGUGAUCUUGUCAUCAUGCAAGUGUGGGAAUGUGUGCAUGUGAACUCUAUGACAUGCAUACUGAACAUAGAGCUCCAACAAGGACUUGGCAACGCUUACUGUAUCCAACUCGCCAGCGUCCUAUUAUCUUUACAAGAGUAAUUCCCCUCCCUUCCUCCCUGCCUUCCUCCUUUGUCCUUUCUUCAGUUUUGAGUAAAUGUGCUACCCAGAUGCUUUGAUUCAACUUGAGGGCAACUGUGGUUCCUGAGUCUAUAUCCAAGGCCAGGUAUCAUGCCAUUUCUCUACAUGUAUUAAUCUCCACAACAAUCCUGUGAAGUGUGUACUGUUAUCAUCCCCAUAUCACAAACAGAGAAACUGAGACACAGAGAGAUUCAGUUACCUGCUUAUGAUCGCAUAGUUGUAAAAGGAGAAGGGUCAAGAUUUGAACCUAGGAACACUGGCUGACAGUCUUUGCUUCAAACCAUUAGACAACGAAGCAAGUAAGGUGAAUAAAGAAAAAUACCCUCAAUUCCUCUUACCAGAAACAACCACUCAAACACUUAGUCAUUUUUAUAUGCAAACAUUUAAUUGAAUCAAAGUAUUAAUUUUAUAUGCCCUGCUUAAAAACUCUACGAUUAGAUUAUAUCUCCUCUGUUGUGUGUUCCUUGCAAAUCUGAUUUUUGUUAACUAUGUAGU